rfam:Monodelphis domestica chromosome 8, whole genome shotgun sequence.
GGGGCCAUCUUCCAGUACAGUGGUGGAUGGUGAAGCUUCUAACACUGUCUGGUAAAGAUGCCCUC